UUUUUUUUGUGUUUUUUUGUCCCUCUUUGUUUCACUUGAGA
rnacentral:sRNA from 1 species